UUAUGGCCCAAAAAUGACCAAGAAAUUCGGCCAAGAGCAGCUCUUUUUAUAGGGAUUAAAACCAGCCCUUAUAGCUCAUUUUAACUAGCCAAAAAAAAAAAAACAGCUUUCCAGAUUUUCUCUCUUGUUCUCUCUUAGCUAUGCAGCAGCCCUAAAAUUCCACUAAGGUUCUUUGGAAACCUUCCUUCCAAGUUAAAGGGAUCAAGCUAUUGAUACAUUAAGGGAAUAAACUACCACCGAAAUUAAGAUUAGUAAUCUAAAAGGAAAGACGUUAAGUGAAAGUGUGAUCAGUUGUGCAGCAAGGU